rnacentral:misc_RNA from 1 species
GGUAGACGAUCGGCUGGAUCUUCGGAUCUCCCCGAUAUGAACCUUCCCGUGCUUUUUAGAACAUAGAUGGCACCAGUCAGGUGACCAUCGAAACGUAAUACGCCGCGAUGACUUCGGUCACGACGGUAUGGCGAGCUUUCGCCGUCCACGUUUCUCUUUCUUCAAAAGGAUAUCGAACCAUUGGUUUGCGCUCGCGCGCUGUUCGCACCUUCGGUGCUGCGCUCCGCGGGGCGCCGGACGACCGGCGACGGCCUCUGGCCUGUAUGGGCGACCCUUUCCGAGGUUUUGCUUGGGAUUGGCGUCGACGCAGAGAGAUGGGCCCGUAGCUCAGUUGGUUAGAGCACACGCUUGAUAAGCGUGGGGUCGGAAGUUCAAGUCUUCCCGGGCCCACCAUUUGCAUAUGCGAAUGAGGUUUGCUGGUGCGAAUUGUGGUUUGUUUGGGUUUACCUGAUCCUGGCGGUUUGCUGUCAGGUGUUUGCGAUGGUUGGGGCUGUAGCUCAGCUGGGAGAGCACCUGCUUUGCAAGCAGGGGGUCAGCGGUUCGAUCCCGCUCAGCUCCACCAAUUCGCUUGGUGUCGAGCCUGAGAGAUAUCCUUUGAAGAAAUAAAAGUUUUGCAUCGGCUUAUGGCUGAUGCGUGUUCUGUAUACAUUGUGAAGAGAAGAUUGAUCUGGAGGCUUCCAGGUGUCGUGGGUUUUUAUCCAUGAUGUCCAAGCCCAGUUCCUGUGAACCCAUGGAUGGCCUAGCCGGCCGGAUGUGGUGGAGGGAUUGGAGGUAGGAGGGAAGCUUGUCGCUCUGGGUCGUUGUUGUUUGCUGAUCUUUAGGGAUGAGCAUCUGGCGGACGACUUGAUUACCGUUGCCUGACCGCGCGGUAUCGGAUCCAAUCUCGAGAAGCUGGUCUUAAGACAGGCUGCAAGCGAGCUGCUCGGCGUAGCUCCAAUAAAGCAGACCUGUCGAACACGUUAAUGGCAUUGUUAGAAAGCGUGAUUGUAAAAGGUAAUCACGCAUGUUUGGCCCGACUGCACGGCAAUCGCAAGGUUGUCCGGAUGGUCGGAUUUGGCACCCCGCGAGGCGAAAGCGACGCGGACAAGGUCUGCCAAAUCAAACAAAGACGAUGAGCAUUGGCAAUGAGAACGAUUAAGUGUCGUAAGGGCAUUUGGUGGAUGCCUUGGCAUGCACAGGCGAUGAAGGACGUGAUACGCUGCGAAAAGCCGUGGGAGCUGCGAA